rnacentral:rRNA from 1 species
UACGAGAGGCCCAAACGUUAUUCGGAAUUACUGGGCUUAAAGAGUUCGUAGGCGGCGCAGAAAGUAGGGUGUGAAAGCCCUCGGCUUAACCGAGGAAUUGCGCUCUAAACUACUGUGCUUGAGGAAGCUAGAGGUGAGCGGGAACUGAUGGUGGAGCGGUGAAAUGCGUUGAUAUCAUCAGGAACACCGGAGGCGAAGGCGGCUCACUGGGG